rnacentral:rRNA from 1 species
UUGGAAACUAGGAUGAAAGGUUUUAUAUUUAAGAGGGUUUGUUAUUAAGCUAAUUGAAUUUUUAGCAGGAGUAAAAAUACUUUUAUGUUUAAGAGAGACGAUAAGACCCUAAAAUCUUUAUUUGAGAGAAGGUUUUUGCUUUAGGUGGAAUUUAUUUGGGGUAAAUAUUUUUUAAUGAUAAAAUAAUGUUUUACUUAAGUGUGUUAGAAUCUUAAAUUGGGUUAUUAGAAAAAGUUACUUUAGGGAUAACAGCGUAAUUUUUUAUUGGAGAAGGUAUUUAUUAGAUUUUUACGACCUCGAUGUUGAAUUAAAAAUUCUUUUUGUAGCAGUAUGCAAGGGAGAAGGUUUGUUCAACCUUUUAUUUUUUACAUGAUCUGAGUUCAAACCGG